rnacentral:rRNA from 1 species
CUGGUAGUCCUGACUUUGCACCUGCCAUCGGAUGAAGGGAGCUUGCUCCUGGAUUCAGCGGCGGACGGGUGAGUAAUGCCUAGGAAUCUGCCUGGUAGUGGGGGAUAACGUUCCGAAAGGAACGCUAAUACCGCAUACGUCCUACGGGAGAAAGCAGGGGACCUUCGGGCCUUGCGCUAUCAGAUGAGCCUAGGUCGGAUUAGCUAGUUGGUGAGGUAAUGGCUCACCAAGGCGACGAUCCGUAACUGGUCUGAGAGGAUGAUCAGUCACACUGGAACUGAGACACGGUCCAGACUCCUACGGGAGGCAGCAGUGGGGAAUAUUGGACAAUGGGCGAAAGCCUGAUCCAGCCAUGCCGCGUGUGUGAAGAAGGUCUUCGGAUUGUAAAGCACUUUAAGUUGGGAGGAAGGGCUGUAGGCUAAUAUCCUGCGGUUUUGACGUUACCAACAGAAUAAGCACCGGCUAACUUCGUGCCAGCAGCCGCGGUAAUACGAAGGGUGCAAGCGUUAAUCGGAAUUACUGGGCGUAAAGCGCGCGUAGGUGGUUCGUUAAGUUGGAUGUGAAAGCCCCGGGCUCAACCUGGGAACUGCAUCCAAAACUGGCGAGCUAGAGUACGGUAGAGGGUAGUGGAAUUUCCUGUGUAGCGGUGAAAUGCGUAGAUAUAGGAAGGAACA